rnacentral:tRNA from 2 species
GGGGAAUUAGCUCAGUGGUAGAGCGCUUGCUUAGCACUUGUGAAUGCAUGAGGCCGUGGGUUCAAUUCCCACAUUCUCCA